GUGGGGAAUAUUGCACAAUGGGGGAAACCCUGAUGCAGCAACGCCACGUGUGGGAAGAAGCAUUUCGGUGUGUAAACCACUGUCGUGAGGGAAUAAGGCUGAGUUUCGGCUCAGUUGAAUGUACCUCGAGAGGAAGCACCGGCAAACUUCGUGCCAGCAGCCGCGGUAAUACGAGGGGUGCAAGCGUUGUUCGGAAUCACUGGGCGUAAAGGGAGCGCAGGCGGAAGCUCAAGCGGAUUGUACAAUACCGGGGCCCAACCCCGGACCUGCAGUCCGAACUGGGUUUCUUGGAUAGUUCAGGGGCAAGCGGAAUUCCUGGUGUAGCGGUGGAAUGCGUAGAGAUCAGGAAGAACACCGAUGGCGAAGGCAGCUUGCUGGGGACUUAUCGACGCUCAUGCUCGAAAGUGCGGGUAGCAAACAGG
rnacentral:rRNA from 1 species